rnacentral:rRNA from 1 species
GUCCACGCCAUAAACGAUGGAUGCUAGCCGUCGGCAAGUUUACUUGUCGGUGGCGCAGCUAACGCAAUAAGCAUCCCGCCUGGGGAGUACGAUCGCAAGAUUAAAAACUCAAAGGAAUUGACGGGGGCCCGCACAAGCGGUGGAGCAUGUGGUUUAAUUCGAAGCAACGCGAAGAACCUUACCAGGCCUUGACAUCCCGGUCGCGGCCCCUUGAAAGAGGGGCCUUCAGUUCGGCUGGACCGGUGACAGGUGCUGCAUGGCUGUCGU